UAUAUCCACUGUAUCCUCUAUCCUGUCCAGUGUUUACUUAUUAAAAUUUGAUAUCUCUGGCAUAUGUCAUCUGUUUUUUGUGCCCGUUCGGUUCCUUGCCCGAAACACAAACGCAAACACAAUUUUUUCCACCGGAUGUAGGCUGUGUUUGCCUUUGCUGCAGAUCCGUUCCGUUCCGUUCCCUUUCCUUUAUUUUUUUCUUUUUUGUUCCUGAAAGGUUGUCCUUUCCCGGUAAUGGGCACACUUUCGAGAUUAGUUUACGCGUCAUCUAAGCUGGCCGGCCAGCAGCGCAUCUUUUGUCAUAGAUCGCUGGCUUUAUGUAUGUAUAUAGGGUCUGCAUUUUUUCGUUUGCCAAUAUCUUUUUGGCGUGGGCGUGUUUGCUGCGUUGGCUGGCGCAGUGGCGCUUCCUGUCAGCAAUCGCUUGGCAACAGGCAACAUCGCAGCUGUCGCUGCUGUUUCUGUUUGUGUUGCGUUGCGUUGUGCAGUGCUGUGUUGUCAUUGCCCCAAAACGUUGCCAUCGAUGAGGCAGCCCAGACACGUGCUGCAAGCACCGAUAGCUCCACCGUUUCAAAAGCAGCCGCUCCAACGUCGGAGGAAUAUCUAAUAGUCUUGUUUGGCUACAAAUGCGGAGUCAUUGUGGCUGGUCGACUAACUAGAAGAGUUUAAAUAGCUGUUUAGCAACAAGAGGCAAAUUAUGGCGGGCUCUCCUUUAGAAUUACAAUGAAAGUCGUUAUGAAAACUCUGUAAGUCACUUCUAAGCCUAAACGGAAAGUAUUCAUAACAAAGAUAUCUGCACCUAAGUGAUCAAAUAAAAAACCCAAUCUUAUCAAGUUUCUUGGAAGUUGACUAUGUCUGCCCAUAUGGAAAUUCACAUUCCUCAGGUAUUAAUAAACUUUACAGAUGCAGUCGAUAAGGGAAUGAGUACGAUAAGACAGCGGUUGAUUGCCAGAACCUCAGGGUUGUGAGCUCAAAGCCUUCCCUUGAAUGAUCCGCAUCGUAGACCUUGUGACCUAUCUGGAUCCGGAGAUGACGCAUCCCCAACUAGCUUAGUUAGCUUGGCCAUCCAUCUAUCUGCAUUAUAGUACGGAUCGCGGACAGCCGUCGGAUGGGGCAAUUUCUUUUAAUUCGCUGAAAUAUUUUGUUGUCGCCGAGACCGAAUUACAGCCCGUCAAACGGAGAAGGCCUGUGUACAUUUUCGUCGCGAUCUCGUCUCUGGACUAGUACGAAAGUGCAGAAUAAAUUUGCUUAAUUUGGGUUGGCUUUUUCGCAUUUGUGGCGACUGGCGCUCAAUGAAAGCGGAAAGCAUUUUACAAGCGAAAUUGUUUUGCAUAUGAUGUGAGCUCGCCACAUCGUCGACGGAUCGCCAGCAGUGGCGCCGGAGUAUCAUUGAGUGAUUCAUGUGGCCCGCGAGUGACUAAGGGCUACUAAGUGUAAACACCCAGACCAUACCAUGCCAUACCAUACCAGACCAGACCAGACCCAAAAAAUCAAUGUCAGUCCAUUGUUGUUGCAGCUGGGGAAGUCAACAUCCACACUUCUUUAAAGGCAUUUUAAAAUUCCACUCGGGUGUUGGCAAUUUUCGCUUUGACGUUGACGUUCUGCCUCCUCGACUCCCUUGGCUUCCUUUGGGCCAAAGACUUCUUCCGUAGCGCCAACUUCUUGCCAUCUUCCGCUUAUUCGAUUAAACUGAUCGAAUAUAUUUGCAUUUGCAUUUGUGCUAAUGGAAAUGGAAUAACCAAAGUUCUUGGGAUUAGUCACUUCUGCUUGCCAGUUGUAAUCGCUGAUGGAUUUAGCGGAUUUAAAUAAAUACACUUUUAUACAGAACUAGAAUCUAGAGAAUCUUUAAAUGGUACUAUCGAGUUUCCUAUAAAUAGGUUUAUUAAAUGUCAAAAUUAUUAUGGAUUCCAUGCCUUGACUUCUCCACUUUUCCCUUUUUGUUUAUUGCCAUUAAAAACCGUAUAAAUCGAAA